AUUGAACGCUGGCGGAAUGCUUUACACAUGCAAGUCGAACGGCAGCACGGACUUCGGUCUGGUGGCGAGUGGCGAACGGGUGAGUAAUGUAUCGGAACGUGCCCAGUCGUGGGGGAUAACGUAGUGAAAAUUACGCUAAUACCGCAUACGAUCUAUGGAUGAAAGCGGGGGAUCGCAAGACCUCGCGCGAUUGGAGCGGCCGAUAUCAGAUUAGGUAGUUGGUGGGGUAAAGGCCCACCAAGCCAACGAUCUGUAGCUGGUCUGAGAGGAUGAUCCGCCACACUGGGACUGAGACACGGCCCAGACUCCUACGGGAGGCAGCAGUGGGGAAUUUUGGACAAUGGGCGAAAGCCUGAUCCAGCCAUUCCGCGUGCAGGAUGAAGGCCCUCGGGUUGUAAACUGCUUUUGUACAGAACGAAAAGGUUUCUACUAAUACUAGGAGCUCAUGACGGUACUGUAAGAAUAAGCACCGGCUAACUACGUGCCAGCCGCCGCCGUAA
rnacentral:rRNA from 1 species